rnacentral:rRNA from 1 species
AUUGAACGCUGGCGGCAGGCCUAACACAUGCAAGUCGAACGAGUGGCGGACGGGUGAGUAAUGUCUGGGAAACUGCCCGAUGGAGGGGGAUAACUACUGGAAACGGUAGCUAAUACCGCCUACCAUCGGAUGUGCCCAGAUGGGAUUAGCUAGUCGGUGGGGUAACGGCUCACCUAGGCGACGAUCCCUAGCUGGUCUGAGAGGAUGACCAGCCACACGGGGACUGAGACACGGUCCAGACUCCUACGGUAGGCAGCAGUGUGGAAUAUUGCACAAUGGGCGCAAGCCUGACACAGCCAUGCCGCGUGUAUGAAGAAGGCAUUCGGGUUGUAAAGUACUUUCAGCGAGGAGGCGUUACUCGAAGAAGAAGCACCGGCUAACUCCGUGCCAGCAGCCGCGGUAAUUC